CAGCAGGGUAAACAGAUCUUCAGUUUAAGGGAGGAGGAGGGGUUGUGGGAAGAACCUCUGUUGUCCCAGCUGGAAACUUAAGCAUCAGGAAAUGCAUUUCUGCGUGUUCCCAGCCUGCUGAAAAGUCAAGCACACUAAGGACAAGGCAAUCCCCGAUGCCCUGCCCCAAUCUGGCUUUUCCCCUUCCCUGCCUGCUGCUCCAGGUUUUCUGGCUUUCUCAUUCUCCUCUCUUUCUCCCAGGGCGAGCCCAGAGGGUGUUUGUUUAAAGAACCUUUCACUAGCAUUCCUUCCCAGCCAUUCUCUCAGCUUUUCACUUUGCAUUAUGCCCAGAGCCCUAGAUGCAGUCUCCUUCCCCAGCCAGGCCGCUUUCAAAAACUAACCUCUGUUUUACAUGGGGGAACUUUAACCCGUUUGCCUCCAAAAAAACCCUGUAACAUUGCAGAGAACCCUAAAGCCUCCUUGAACCCCUAAAAAUCCAUGUCUACCCUCUUCAAUUCCCCGAUAGAACAGGAGUCCCUCCUUAUCCUCUGAGAUACAUUCCAAGACCCCCAGUGGCUGCCUGAAAUCACGGUCAACAGCAAACCCUACAUACCAUAGAAAAGCCAUAAACCUGAAGUUACUAAGGUCUGGCUCCAGGAAAUCCUGAAUCCAAGAAGAAUGCUCAGCAGGACAGAAUUGAAGACAACAGUUCAUCAUCUUUCCUUCCCAGGAUCGAGAAUAUCCCAAGGAAAUGCCAAGUAAAAAAGUAAAAUCAGCGAUUGAUUUUGCGUUUGGAGAACUGACCAAGUUUCUUGAUCAAAUGCCGAUUGCAAGUCUGAGUCAAGGUUGAGCAUAUAUAAAGGAAUCCUCCCGGGUACAACCCCUUGGGGUCUUCACAAGAUGUGAUUUUGAAAAACCAGACUCGGGCGAUCAGAGACCUCACUGCGGAGGAAACGAAGGAUGCCUCACUUCCAAAACCUGCCUCCUGCAAACACUCCCUCGGGUCCCUGCUGGCGCCAGGCUGGGACCGAGAGAGCUUCCUGUCCCGCUGACCACAGAGGUUAAACAGAAUCUCCACUCCCGGAUUGAGGAAAGAAAGGCGUCUUCCCCGAUGAUUUUCGCGAGGCUGCGGACCCUCGCAGCACCCCGACUGGACCCACCCCGCAGAGCUGUUGGGGCGGCAGGCGCCCAGGCCUUCCUGAAUCCCUGGCCCCUCUGGUCUAUCCUAGGCCCCCCAGUACUCAGGCCUGCGAAAAUCCCGACCUCUGCCAGGCCCCUCCUCGCAGGCUUUGCGGUUUGCUAACUCGCGGUGCGGCCUUGGGACGGUGCCUCAGCUUCUCCAAGUGUAAUGAAGUAGGGCUGGACCGUGAUUCUCAGAAUCACCCUUGAAGCUUUUCCAAAACCGCCUACCAGGGUGUCCCCACCGGAUCGGAGAGGGGGUCGGGGGCGAAAAGCAGCAGGACGCUGACAGCCCGGGCUGGAACCCGGGACUCGGGCUCUCCCGCCUGUGCAGCGACUCCACCCGUCGGCCUGGCCCCGGAGCUCGCCUUCGGCCAGGGUGGGGUAUUGCGCUGUCUCCGGGCCGGUUCCGGGAGGCCGGGCUGGGCUGCC